GCAAGGGGAAGGCAUUGUUUUCAAAGAAUACCAUUUCAUACCUGGAUUGGGUAGGUUUAUUCCAUCCUAGUUAAGACCUGGGUAAGUUCCUGCCGCCAGUGAUAAAAUGAAAAUCCAUUUUAGCCAAGCCACAGGAAAACCAUGUAAGAGUUAGAUGUGAAAGCCCAUUUCCAUUUUCAUUAGCGUGGGUAAGCUGUUCAGGCUGGAAAUUGUUGUUAUCCGGUCCAAAGUGUUAUCCAGUUACCUUCUGCAGGUUACUAUGAAAUCACGUACUGCUAUCAAAGGUUCUUACGAGUCUAUAAUGUUUCAGUUCUCAGUCACGGCUCCAACAAAAUUUCUUCUCUUGCUGGCAGUUCCAGAUUUGGUCUCUUUUUCUGUCUUUGCAUGUGUUUUUCUUCCUGGUAGCAGCUACCAGCUUCUUCCCACUAUCGCAGCAGUUUCUCCUACCUUUGCUUAUGUUUCUACCACGUCACAGCAGUGUAGUUAGCUCUCCUUAGGUCAGCAAAGCCAGGCAUUCAUAGCUUGCACUUUCUAAAACUUUUCAAGCGCUGAGUAAUUUAAAAUGUAUUAUGUUUUUUGAAUUAAGCAUCAAAAACUUUGCAUUUAAGUCUGUUCACAGGCCAAAAGAGACAGUUAAAACUCACUACUGAUUUUUUGUACAGAAGUCCAGGGUUUUAGAGAAAUAAAUAUGACUUGAGUCCGAUGGGGAAAGUUUAUUCAAAUUAAUCUAGAUUUAUUCAAACCCACCAUUAUAAAGACAUCAGCAAGUCAUAUCAGAAGAUUAAAGCUGUUAAUGCACUGUACUCAAGUUACCAUGACUGUCAGAGAAAAGUUAAACUCUAUGUUGGGUAAUAUUAAUAAAAACAGCAUGUUAAAAAUACAACUAUGUCACUACAGCUAGCUCCAACCUUGAUUUUUUUUUUUUUUAAAUAUAGGGGCAAAUUUUAUAAAUGUUGUUGAAUUUGAAAAUAUCUUCAACUAUGGACAAACUUUCAUGGAAAUAAAAGACUGGGGGAAGCAGGAUUAUUCACAGACAUAUGAAUGGAUAUUGGACAAGAGAUAAAUCAAUCUUAUUAACCAAUAGGGAAGACCAGAAAGUAAUAACAUAAAGCAUUAACAUGAAAAAAUGCAGACUAAAAAUUAGGGAAAUUUUCAUAACUAUGUGCAGAAUAAAUGCAGAUGCAAAUCAGAAACAAGAUGCCAGGAAAAGCUAUGAAAUUAACUCCAUGGAGGAUAUUCAAGACAUCAGUCUGUGGGGAGUUACUUCAGCGUAAUUCAGUCAGAGCUUUCAGGAGGCAAAGACAUGAACUGGGGAGUCUACCUUUUUCUCACCCAAAUCGUCAGAAAUGGCUUUGGUGAGCUAAAUGUUAUGUUGUCACAAGUUGCCCCCAUUUAUUACAACCCAGUUUCCUUGAAAUAGAUGGAAUAGACUGGCAAGUAUGCUGACAAUGGCCUCAUAACCUGAAUGUCACAGCAAGGCCAGUCACUGGGGUAUCUGACUAAAAGUCAUUGCUAUUUUUCCAGGUCAGAUCUUUCUUUUUAAUUUAACCUGCUUUAGUGAAAGCAUUUAAAAUCUGUUUCUUGAAAGCAUACUGAGAUAAAUUCUCACAGGGAUUUUUAUGAAUAGAUGUGCUUUGCUUUGUUUCUAACAAAGAUUAAUGCUUUUGCAUAAGAGUUGGAAAGCAGUUUUACAGUCAAAGGAAAACAGAAGUUACCGCUGAUCCCUCAAAGAGAGCACAGGCCUGUCAGUCUGAUUCUGGUGUUUGGAAAGAGAAAUAUUUUCUUCUUUUCUUUCCAUAACUGUGAUAACAAUCUGUAAGCCAAAGUACAACUAAAGUGUCUCCUGGAAUUACACUGUUUGCAAGAAAUGAAUUUUAAACUUAUUAUAAUAGUGUACUAAAGAGCUUGAAAUUUUCAUGCCCACAGGGCAAUAUAGCACUCCAUUUGUGAUUUGAUGUCGCAAGCAUGUAGACUUCUUUAGUUUUACAAAUGCUCUUCAAGAAAAUAUUUAAUUUUUCUCUCCGGGGAAAACAUUAAACCCUACCUCAGGAAAUUGUGCAGAAGGAAGGAAAUUUGGGUUGAGAUGGCCAUGUUUUGACUUCCAGUCACCAAAAUCAAAUUCCUUCCAAUAUGUAUUCCAGCUUUGGGUUCAUAAUCCUACGACUCUGAACCAAAAUAAUAAACCUAGGACAUAUUUUACCCUUUAUAUUAUAUACCCCUCUGUAACAUUCCAACGAGUUUUUUCUUAUUUUUCAGGUUUCUGGAGAGCAAUGAUUACUUUAGGUUCCUAAGGAAAUAAGGUUUAGAUGAUCACAAUCUGUCUACUCAUACAUUUCUCUUUCCUUCUCUCUUUUGAAGCAACAAAGUAUUUUUAUUUAUACUUGACUGGGUGGAUGAAGAUGUCAAAGAUGAAAUACUUGUCCAAGUUUUUUGUUUGGGUAAAGGAAAACUAAUCAAGUUGGUUCUACCAAAGAGAUCCAGCCACUGUGCGUGGCCAGAGAUGGUAGCCAGGUGGCCAGUCAGCAUAUGUAUAUUGACUGGGCAACCUCGUGUGGUUGUGCCCCUGCCACACCAUGUGCUGCCACUCACCCAUCUGGUCAGGCAAAACUCCCACGACAAAGCUGGGAUAUCAGAACUGAUCCACAGAAAAUCUGCUUCUCUUUUCAGAGAGACGUGUGGAUUCCAGCCUCCGGAAGUACACAGCAGCACAAAAUAAAACAGAUCCCAGCACUGCCAAAGGCACAUAAGCAAUGAGCCCUCAGGAUUGCCAAAACGGAGGCAGAUAUCCAUAAUUAUCUAAUAUGCAGUGUUACUGAUGUUCUGCAACAAAUACUCACUCACCCAGAGCCCAUGCAGGGGUAUGGCUUCAGGUCUCUGUUUCUGGGCCAGAAUUCAUCAGUAAGGCACUGUUCAGCUUGGAUGGCAAGCUAAAGAUAUUAGUACCCAUAGAAGCGUUCUUCCCAGUGCUGGGAAGUUCAGCACAGUUGAAAACCUACCUAUUGCACUGGGUAGCUAUGUUAGCAUAUGGGCCAAAAUGUGGCUUUGCUUCUGUAGCUGUCACACUUUCUUUAAAGGUCAUGAAUCCCCCCUUCAAAUUGCUUCAAUUACAUCCAGCUCCUCGUAAGAAUCAAUGCAUACAAAGAAUUUAUUUGUACCUCAUUGUGAUCAGCAUCAAGUUGCAUCAGUGGAGCCUUAGAUUGGAUUUUUGGGAAGAUUUAUUCACUGAAAGGGUGGAACAGGCUGCCAAGGGAAACAGUGGAAUCAUGGUACCUGGAAGUGCUCAAAAAAUAUGUAUAUAUGGCCCUCAGGGACAUAUAAACAUGACAGUGUUAGGUUAAUGAUUGGCCUUUUCCAACCUAAAUGAUUCUAGGAUUCUGUGAUUCUAUAAAAUCUGGAAAACUUGAAAUUAGUUGAUCAAACAUGAACUGCAGAGAGGAUUUACGGAACAGAAUUUUUAAAAGCCCAAAAGUGCUACCUAGCCAACUAUCUGAUUAAAAUAGCACAGUAUUUAUCUUCACAUUUGCCCUGUUAGGCUACAAACCACUGCAAUUCUCAUGUUUUACACGCACAGCAUUGAAACACUAUCUGCAGUGUAGAUACCCACACAUAAACCCUUCAAAUUCAGAGGAAGAGAGUGGGCACUUAGAGGGCAAGAGCUGCCUAAGCAAUUUCAUCAGUCUGCCUUAGAGGGGAUCAAGUCCUUUCUGGGAAACUGGCAACACAUUAACACCAUGCAGUGAGUCUGGAGCUGGCUCUGGCACCCAGGGUGUAGGCACAGCCUUGGUCACACGGCUGAGAGGAGAGGGAGAGCUGAGAAUGACAGCUGUGCUACAGGGAGCUGAAGUGAGAAAGGCUAAGGGUGAGGGUCAAAUUGCUGUAGGAGCAAGUGCCACGGUAUCUGAUUUCAACCAAGCAAAUUAUCUACCUGCACUUAACUUCCUUACACAUUUGUGUCCAGCAUGUUUGUUAACUUAGUGAUUUCUGUAGGAACUGAAUCCAUUUCACAUGCAAAUGGACCUAAAAAUCACCAAAGUCAAAGGAUGGGAACUAAUUUUAUUUCUCAAUCAGCAGAACUGUGCAGAAAAUCACCCUUAGCUUAAUAGAGAGUGAUUUGCAGAUCACAAGGGAGAGAAAUUAUACCUACUUUAUCCAAGAAGGAUGGCCAGGAGAAAAUAUAGAAUAGGUUUGGGGGUGAAAUUAUUUAACAAGAAGCUCUUCAUGAAACUUACUGAAAGUUGUCGUGCUCCGAGACUAUACAAAGGACUGAAUGGGAUAACCCUUUCAGUGGAAACAGGAAGUUAGGUGGGCAAGGGGUAUGGCUGAGAUGGAGUUCAGCUCCCCAUAGCAGUCCUCACAGUGCACUGGUAGCUAGAAUGGUGUUGAUAACACACCAGUGUUUUGGCUGCUGCUGAGCUGUGCUGGCGCUGUCUCUCAACCUUCCCCCACCAUCAGUAGGCUGAUCCUGGGAGGGGACACAACCAGGCCAGCUGACCCAAAUUAACCAAAGGGGUAUUCCAUACCAUAUGAUGUCAGUUCAGAUAUAAAAGCUAAGUAAAAAACCAGGAAGGGGAGGCAUUAGUUAUUUACAGUGUUUGCCUUCUGGAACAAGAACUACUUAUGCUAAAGCCCUGUUCCCAGGGAGCAGCCAGAUAUUGUUUGCUGAUGGGGAGAAUACAGUUUUGGGUUUUUUCUCUUUUCUUAUGUACACACAAGCUUUUGCUUUUGCUUGAGUAAACUGCCUUAUCUCAAUGCACAAGUUGUUUUCUGUUUUAUUUUCUCUUCCCUGUCCAGUUUGGAAGGGGAGUGAUAGAGUGGCUCGGUGGGCACCUGGCAUCCAGCAAACGUCCACCCACCACAGGGACGAAAGAGGCAGAAAGAGCAACCUUUCUGAUAUAAUUUUUAAUGGAUUAAGCCUGAGUUUUCUUCCCUGUGUAGUUUAAAAUCUCUUAUAAGUGAAAUAUGUACAUUACAUAUAUUAAUGUAUGAGCCAUGUAACCCUAAUGUGACCUGAUGCUAGUGAGUUAUAAUUUCGUAUGCAUAUCACCAAUACAUUUCUGACCAACAAACGUGGCAAAUCCCAAAGCAGGGCCCCAGAGCACCUCAUCAUGUAAAAUCACUGCCCAACACACUUUCCAGAGUAGCUAAAAAGCAGCAGAGUGGAUCAUGUCAGGGGCUAGUUCACACACAUAACAUAGAAAACAGAUGAAAGUGUCUUCUACUGGCUGGUGAUAACCAGGAAAGCACUCUGACAUGCAGCAAGAUGCCAGGGAGGCCCAGAAGAGCAACCAAGUUGUCAGAGCAUCCUUCCCCUCUGCAGAUGGCUGAAAGCAAGAUACCCUGACAAGCUGACAGGCCAAUCAGAGAGUCUGUGCAGAGAAGGGUAUUUACAGAUUUCCCACCUUUGUGGUCCUGAAGAGCUUGACGGAAAAAGUACCCCAACUUAAAAGUGCAGCCUCAGUUACCAUGUGAGAGAUGGUGGUGACAGAGGGGAGUCUGAACAGCCAAAAUAAGCAUGCCAGUUUUGUUUGCAGAAGGAAGGGGAGGCGGUGUCUCAGGUACCCAAGCAGAGACUCACCUGCAGUCUCUGGAGAGACCAUGGCAGAGAAGAUGCACACACUGCAGCCCAUGGGGAACAUCAUAUGGAGCAGGUGGAUGUUUCCUGAAGGAACUAAACCCUGGGGAAGAGCCCAUGCUGGAGCAGAUUUAUCUGAAGGAAUUGCAUUCUGUGAGAGGAACCCAGAAAGAGCAGGAGGAGAACAGGAGGAGGAAAGAGCAUCAGAAAAGAGCUGUUAUGGACUGAUCAUAGCCCACUUUCCCCAUCUUCCUGCACUACUUAGGGGAGAAGAAGUUGGAAAAAAGAAGAUUUUCGGUGGCCUAAUUGCAGUCUUCCAGUACCUGAAAGGAUCGCACAAGAAUGAUGGAGACGAAUUUGUUACAAGGGCAUGUAGUUACAGGACAAGGGGAGAUGGCUUCAAACUGAAAGAGAGUUUAGAUAAAAGAUAUUAGGAAGAAAUUCUUUACUCUGAGAGUGGUGAGGCACUGGAACAGGUUACCCGGAGAAGUUGUGGAUGCUCCAUCCCUGGAAGGGUUCAAGGCCAGAUUGGAUGGGGCAAUCCCCCAUGGCAGGAGAGUUGGAACUAGAUGAUCUCUAAGGUCACUUCCAAACCAAACCAUUCUGUGAUUCUAAUGCCAGGGACUGACCUUGUAAUAUGACACAAUAUAAUAGUCUUCUAAGAAAAGAGAGAAACAGGUUGAAGUGUGAAUCCUGGAGUCUUGUGAGACAUAUUUGGCCACAACAGUUCCCAUGCAUCAGGUGAAAGAAGUGCUGCUGAUCAUCCUAGUCGGGUAGGGAAUGCAUCUGAAGCCCAUUUGUGAUCGUCUCUGUCUAAGUCAUGUGUUCAGUGCAGACUGCAAUACAGACAAGGGAACCACAAAUGAGCUACUAGAAAUAAGAGAAAUAAUAAUAGAAACCAAGAUAAAAACAGAGCUCUCCAAAGAAAAUUUUAUUUUGACUUCAAUCGACUUUAUGUAGUCUCAGAGUCAAAUUGUGUACUAACUACACCUACAUAUACAUACCUACAUAUGUUUCAAUUUCCUUUUCAUAUUCAACACAGAUAUUAAUGUUUGUGGCUUAGUAAAAGAACACACGGAACUAAGGAUGCUUCUUAAGGAUUUGAGUGGCUUCUCAUCUAAGUGCAUAUACAUUUUAGAGACAUUUUCAGACAGAACUGCAUAAAAUUGUUUCUGAGGAAUAUGAAAACUCUCAGCACUGCAAUGUAUUUACUGCAUUCCCAUGAGAAGUUAAACAGACUAACCCAUGGGAGAAUGUAACACAACUGUGACACCUUUGUGCAGAGGUGAGUACCAAGUACAGUUGGCCUGCCAGUAAAAUCCCAUUUUAUGAGCUGGAAUCACUUGAGUAGGUAUCACCUGUGAGGUCCUCUGCCCAGCCAAACAGCAGCACCUGAAAACUGUUGUUUACAUUCUGUAUGGGAAAGAAAGGAGAUCACACAGAGGGAGGUCCCAAGAAGAAUGGGAAGGAAAUAAAGUGGAUUUGCAAUGAUGAGCUGAAAAGUUGGAAAGAGAGAAUACUGCAUAAUAGUUAAUCAUUUGUGAUUACAUUUGUGACAGUAAGGAUGCUGUUUCACUUAGCUUCCCUUAAUUUCUUAUCUGAUGUAUUUAACAUGGUAUAAAAAUACACAAGGAUUAAGAGAAAUUAAAUAGAGCAGACAAAACAAACAACUACCCCAUGGGACAUCAUAGGUAUUGUAAAAGAAAUUGCAUCAAACUUGCUCAGAGAGGUUCUGAUGAUCUGGGAGGAAAAGGGGGAGGCUCAGGAUUAGGAAGGUGACAGCUUCCUGAUGCCUUCCAUGUCCCGAGUUAUGACAGCUCUGCAACUCACACUACACCAAAGCAGGAAAAAAGCAUUUCCAAGCGUCCAGCCCAAAGCCACGGCUCCACCCAGAGCUAAGAGGUUUUCUGACAUUCCAGACCCAGGGACAUCUAAUAAGGCUGGGAAUGAGGAAAGCAGUUAAAUGUCAGGGGAUAAAGGAAUUGAGGCAGAAAGAGACAGAUGUUUCCCUGGCACAUGGCUAAACUGUCUGGUGGGAGACUUUGGCAAAAGCUCAUGGUCUGCCUGUUCCUAUUGCCGUUGAGAGGAACUGGGCUUUGUGUACAAUUACGUAAACAAACAAAUGACCUCAAGACUCUACCAAAUUUGAACCCAUUUUUCAUGCAGAUGCACCCUCUCUCCUGCAAAGAGAGGUAUUCAGUUUGCCAUGAAACCAAAAGGGCAAUGAGGCUAUCAUCCCCUGGUUUGCACAGUGAGGUAGCCCGGCAACAAGCAAUGAAAAAAAUCAAACUACAGAUUGCCCCGUCCAUUAUUCUGCUCUUUUCCUUUUCCCUUUUAACAGUGAUGAGCCACAAGGAAAACAAAGAGCUGUUCUCAUCAGGUUUUGGACUAAGACGCUUCUACUUUAAUCACAAGAAAAACUGAUUGGAAUCCACAGGGUUUGUGUUUUCAGAUGAUUUGGAGGAUACUUUAAAUGAUAUUUCUUUCUGUGUUUUAUCAUCUUCAGGACACGGCACAGAAGAACGCAAAAUGAAAAUAACAGUAGUUGACUUAAUAUUUUGAACUGAAAGAUACAAUUCAUUUGGAAUCUGAAAGAAGCUCAGGACUGCUCUGACCUGACUGGAGUCAUGUUUUAUUUUACACAUACUAGAAAGGGUGGGAAAUUCAAACAGGUUAAAAAUCUUAUCCUAAGUUCUGCAAAAAGCUGGCUUGCAGAGAAGGUUUACAUUUUCUUGAUUUACUUGCCAUUCAACAGUGUUCUAAGGCUAGGGUUAAUAGCAGCAAAAUAGAGUGACUUGCAAUAGAAAUACUUAAUUGCCCUAUAGCAUAUGUGAUAACUAUGCAGCAGGAGGUUUCAGGAGCUGGCUGACAAAAAUUGUAGUGCUCUGCUAGGUUAAUCUAAUUAGAGCUCUUCCUUGCAGCUUCGAUUGACAGUUUGGAAACCUGUAAACUUCUCUAAACAUAGACAGCCUUCCAUUUGCCGCAGUUCAAGAGAGGACCCUCUUCCUGCACUCUUCCCUUGAACUGUUUCCAUGGAAUACUGUCCAUAUUCAGAAAAAUGUACAGGUUGCCAAACUGUCAACUAAAGCUGUAAUGAAUGGCUCUAAUUACAUGCAAGUAGCAGAGAGCAUUGCCAUUUUAAUCAAAUCUGAGCCUUGUGAGAUAUUUGGCAGAAAUACAAGAGAAAGCCUGAGGAAAACUCUGCCAAAAUGUUAGCAACCUUUUAUUUUAAAUUCUGCCUGUCAGAGAACUGAAUACCAACUGCUAUGCAAAGGUUUUUGUUUUAUGGGGUUGUUUUAUUGUAGCCUAUAUGGUCUCAUCAUGAAUUAUUAUCCUGUUCUCUAUCAACAAAAUAAAACAAAACAAAAACACAGCCCCACAAUUUCAAGACUAAAAGUGAUGAUCAGCAAUUUCGCUAAUCAGUCAGCCACAGUCAUGUUGCCAGUCACAGGGGCAAGGGGGACCCAAUAACAUCUUUUCACUCAAAGAGUUUCUGCCAGCGCUCAGCUUUGUGUUGCACACACCAAGACGCAUAAAAGCAAACUGCUUUGUCAGAUAUCCUGUCAGAUGCUGCCCCAACUCCUUUGUAAAUGCCACAACUUUAUGUUCUGCAGCCCUUUCUUAUCCUAACAGUGUGAAAGACCUAUCUUUACUGAGUCCAGUGAUCUUGAUAUUCCAUCCCUUUUUACAAAUCACAAAUUUGGAACUAACUCCAAAAUUUUAGCUUUUAAUUUAUUUAUUUAUUUAUCACACCUUUAAGACCUCACAGUGAUUAAAUGUAAAGUAUCAAAACUAGUGAGGGACAGGAAAGAAAAAGAUAAUAAGUUGUCCAAUCAUUCUGUAAGUUUAAUGGACAAGAAGAAAAACAAAAUGUCCAGAAUUUUACAAAAUCUAUUCUGGAGGAUAAAGGAAGGCAACAAAGGAAUUCCUUCUUCUUCCAGAGGAAUUCAUCUGGUAACAUAAGGUUUAAUUACAUUUCAGUUCCUCUCAUGAAAGCACCUGCAGCAAGAGUGUUAUAGGUGAAACAAGAUGAAAGAAAAAGGAUUUCAUAUCACAGAUAUUUCGGGUGCAGUAUAAUCAGUCUCAAUCCACAACCUUCCUUCAUUUCCAGGAGAUGGGUUUCAUUUAUUUCACUAGGCAUUUUGCUAGUCUUGUCCUGACAGCUGUCGCACAGAAGUCCUGCUGCUUCAUGUCCCAGCAGAGAGCCAAAUGCCAACCCAGUCUUACUGCUUACUAUUGCAUUAUUGGAGUGCUCUUCCUCCAGCUCCAUUCCCAGCAAUAAAGACCGGCAGAAGAAUUCUUCUCCUGAAGUUCCAAAAAGUUUCCUUAUUCAUUAUUUAUUCAAUCACACAAUCUAUGUUCACUAAGUAUGGUCUCACAAUGUACAAAACCUAAAAGAGGGUCAACCCAGGCCCUUUGCAACCGUCUAUCUAAUAACUAAUUUUGAAAUAACCUUCAACACAUCACUGCUCAGCUUCCUGAAUAGUGACAGGGGUUGUAAAGAGGCAUUGCCUGGCUAUAGACAGCCCUACCAUGGUCUCCCUCAGUGAUGAAGCUCAGCAGCCCUCAUGAAACAGCCUCCUGAUUUCUAGUCCAAAUCUGUUUUGUGUGCAGAAUUGAAAGAUUCAUUUUAUAAUUAGUAGUCUAAAUCAUUGCAUUUUCUUUACAUUUUGGUGAGGUUGUUUCUAAAGAAAGUGUCCUCUAUUUUUCUUGAAGCUUUUUUUUUUUGUGUGUGUGGUAAGAACCUUUGGGGAGUUUUGUGAAAAAAAUAAUCUUACCGUUAUCUUUUUCUGGAAAGUGCAUGUUUUGAAGCUGCUCAUGAAUUAUUUUUCUGAUACACUCGUGAUCAGCGUGGGAUAUAUCAUUGGUGAUUUUACUGCUGAUGCAACUAAAAUAUCAGAUUAGUUAAUAUAAAGAAAAAAGGUUUGGUUGAUUUUUUUGGUUUUGUUUUUGGUUUUUUUUUAAUGCUACUUGUGUUCUCCAUUCUUUAAAUAUAUUCAUUAAAUACAUGCAUAGGUCUUUCUGGCUUCAGCUAAUAACAGAUGUUUUAAACAUGAUGUAAAAGCUCCACACAGAAGGAUAUUUCUCUCCUAUCAACUUCAGUUUGAAGCAUGAAAUAUAAUUAUCCUUAUAUCAUUAUCUUAGCCUGCAUAGUUCAAAGAAAUAAGACACAAUCUGGAAGUGUUUCUGUGCCAAAAAAUGUGCUAGCCUUUUCUUCUUCUAAAAUCUGAGUAGUAGUUAGGAGAGAGAGGAGAGAAUCCUUUUUUUCUGGGUAGUAAAAGUGGGAGGGUUUUCUUUACUUUAUGUUCCAACACAAAGCCCAAUAUCACAACCACCCUUUCUUCACAGCUGAAGCCUGGGACAAGAGCACUCAAACUGCAUGGAAGACACCUAAGUUGAAGUAGUUUGCUUUUCAGGCAUGCUAAAUGCUUUCUGCAAAUUAUGCAGCAGAACCGAAGUCUAUUUUACUGGGAGAAGUAAUGUGCCCUGCUCUGUUCUCUCUACCCUGAUACACAUGUCCCAUGCUACUCCAAUGAAAAAUAAGAAUGGAAGCUGUAUGAGGAGCAAAAUGGGUCAGAAGUAGGAGCACCAAAUAAAAUAAUAGCUUUUUUAUAUAAAUCUUAGGAUUCUCUAAAUUUCCUCUGUGAGCUUGAUUAUUUAAGGUGGAAUCAGCUACUGAUUCCUUCUGUAUUAGGAACACCAUUUGCCUGAUGGUUGAAAGGUACAAUGAGGACAUUUACACAGGAGUUAAGCACCAUAAAUUGUUCUUAGAGUCAAUGGCCAUCUAGUCAAUCUAAUUAACACAAACUAUGGAGUUACUUUUUUAUGCCUUGAGCAGAUUUUUAAGACAGGUCAAGUGAAUCCCAUGCUAAUGGUUCUCAUUGCUUUCCAUUGCCAGCAUGGAUUGCAAAGUCAGCUGUAAUGAGGUGAGAGGAACCUGAUUCCAGCUGCUAAAAUGUAAAACAUAAUAGACAGAUCUUCACCUUAGUAAGUGAAACCUUGAGUCAUUGCAACCUUGCCAAUGGGAUCUUGCUGCUUUACGUCAGGUAAGAAAUCAACUUACCUCUCUUUGCUUUGUUACUGGUGGGACUCAGAAGACCUAGUACGCUCUUUACUGGGCUGUGAAACUUUCAUAUACUAACCCAAUUAUUUCAGCUAUAACAUAGGAUAUAGACUUCAUGUCACCUGACUUCAGACAAUCCAAUAUCAUGUAUAAGGUCUGUAAUGGCAGUCACCUUCAGCUGUCUUGAAGUCACUGAAGAGAAACAGAACUCUCCAAAUGAUGGUUCACUUGAUAUAUCUUAUCCACAAUCUAUUUUAGGAUUAGAUGACUCAUUUUCCAGGUGUGUUUUAUUCUCCAUAUAAACAGUAAGAACACUAGAUAUCCAGCUCAUACAUGGAUUUCUGAUUUCGAUAAACAUAAGGAAGGACAGACUGAUUUCAUCCAUUCUCUCAUUGUCUCCAAGAUUGGCUGUGACUAUUGCAGACCUGACUGCAUAAUAUUUUUAUAGAAUCAUAGAAUAGUGUGAGUUUGAAGUGACCUUUAAAGGUCAUCUAGUCCAACUACUCUCCCUGCAAUGAGCAGGGACAUCAACUAAACCAGGUUUUACUUAAAGAAGUUCAUACCAGGCAGUAUUUUGGUUGUACUGCUCUUCUUCUCACUUAUGCUCUCUCUUUUUUCUUUUUGUCAUUGUGACAAAAGUACAGUCACAAUUGUGUUGUACAGAUUUUAGAAAUGGAAAAGACAUAUCUGUUUACCUGGGAGGUUACUUUCCCAAGGACAGCAAGAAUUACAGUGAAGCUGAGCUAAAUUUCUGAUUGUUAUGUAGAUGGAAGAACUGCACGUAAGAACUUUAAUACAAGGACAUAUUUUCUUCCAAAAACAUCCCUCUGCAAGGGAAACUAGUCACAUUCGUGUAUUUUUUUAUCUUUUGAGAAGAAGGAGUAUAGUUUUCAACAAAGAUGAAAUUCUGAGAAAGUGUAAGAAGUGGAUUAGUAACCCUUUCUUUGGUUAUGAAGAAUUUCUACAAUCUCCACCCAAGACCUCUCAACAAGAUGUACAACUCCUUAUAGAAUAGAAUUGCAGAAUCAUUUAUGUUGAAAAUGACCAUUAAGAUCAUUGAGUCCAGCUGUUCACCCAGCACUGCCAAAUCCACCAUUAAACCACGUCCCUCGGUGCCACAUUUACACGUCUUUUGAAUACCUGCAGGAAUGGUGACUCCACCAUUUCCCUGGGCGACCUGUUCCAAUGUUUGACAACCCUUUCAGUGAAGAAUUUUUUCCUAAUAUCCAAUCUAAACCUUCCUUGUUGCAACCUGAAGCCAUUUCCUCUUGGUUCUCUUGCUUGUUACCUGGGAGAAGAGACCACAGAAAACAACGGUCAGGAGGGAAAAGAGGAAGCCAAAAGUUUCUGCUAGAGCAUAACCCUACAGAAGGUUAUUUACUCCAAAAGACUGAUGUUUUCCCAUAGUUUUGCUCCUACUAUAUCUGAGCUGGCACAUCUUACAGGACGUCAUACUAUCUGGUGAUACCAGUCCACUUCAUUACACAGUGUAUGCUUGCCUUAUGACAGCUCCAAUUAGAACUGAUACAGUGCCUGGUCUAGGUGAUGGUCAGUGGUGAAGCAACCCAAGUCCAGAGAAUUGUUGUGGUGAUUUAGGGAUCCAAAGGGUUUGCUGAAAGGAUCGUUGGUAAAUCAGUAUUUCUCAUUACCCUUCCCAGAAGUCAUUGCAAAUGACUACUACCAGUGUCAAAAUCCACGAAGGCAUGAAUGCUGGUCCAUCUGAGGUCUUUUUGAAAUUGAAGGUGGAGAUGGAGUAUGGGCAAUGUGCCACCAUUCUCACCUCAGUGAUAGGUUUUUUGUUCAUUUCAUUUUGUUUCACUGAUGUUUGUAGACAAAACAGCCUGUUUGUCCAGAUUAUCCAACAUGUUUGAACACUCAGGGAUAGAUAAAAACAUAUAUAGCACUCACUCAGAUACGUAUCAAUGUAUUUGGAACCUUAACAUAACUGAUUAUGUUACCUAGUAGAAGCAGCGUGACUCAGGUGGAGCAAGUUGCCCCGAACCAGCAGCAGGACACAUGUGACUCAGCUGUCAACAGAUGAUAUCCAGUUCCAUGUAAAACUUAACACCAUAUUGCUGCCCACUACUUUAUUAAGAGCAUGGGUCAGUAUUAUACUUUGAAUUCUGGAGGAGCAGGCUGGGGUUCCCAUCAGAUUUCGAGCAGCAGAUUUCACUUGAAUGUUUUAAGAGUGAGCUGUAACUUGUGGAGAAGAAGCACAGCUUCCUCAGUCAACCACAAGUCUUGAUAAGUUUGAUGAAGCACCUUCUCUUAUCUUUCUCAUAAUAUAAAACACUGAAUUAUUAUGACAAUAAAGAUAUGGGAUGUUUGAUAAUUUGA